GCAGGACGCAAUCGGUGGUCCGAUCAGUUUCAGCUGGGUUGGGAUUUUGGCCAAUCAUUGUGGGAGGAGACUGCUUAAAAGCGGGUAGAGAGCACCUGUCUUCCUCUUUUGGCUUGUCAGAGGCUGGGUCGUAGUACUUCCUGGCAUUCCCCCAGUUCCGUCCUGGCGUGGUGGUAGAGGCCAUUGGGGGUGCGCUAUGCUCCACUGAUUGCUCGCUGCGGGUUGUUUCUGUGCGGCGUUUAUUCCUCUCCUCCACGCUGUGUCGUCCAGGACGCCUGAUUGGUGCUGAACCUACGGUGGUGGAUGGUCCUGGUGGCGGUGUCCCUUUUGUGUUUUGC